GGGUUGUGAGGUUAAGCGACUAAGCGUACACGGUGGAUGCCCUGGCAGUCAGAGGCGAUGAAGGACGUGCUAAUCUGCGAAAAGCGUCGGUAAGGUGAUAUGAACCGUUAUAACCGGCGAUGUCCGAAUGGGGAAACCCAGUGUGAUUCGUCACACUAUCGUUAACUGAAUACAUAGGUUAACGAGGCGAACCGGGGGAACUGAAACAUCUAAGUACCCCGAGGAAAAGAAAUCAACCGAGAUUCCCCCAGUAGCGGCGAGCGAACGGGGAGCAGCCCAGAGUCUGAAUCAGCUUGUGUGUUAGUGGAACGGUCUGGAAAGUCCGACGGUACAGGGUGAUAGUCCCGUACACCAAAAUGCACAGGUUGUGAACUCGAAGAGUAGGGCGGGACACGUGGUAUCCUGUCUGAAUAUGGGGGGACCAUCCUCCAAGGCUAAAUACUCCUGACUGACCGAUAGUGAACCAGUACCGUGAGGGAAAGGCGAAAAGAACCCCGGCGAGGGGAGUGAAAAAGAACCUGAAACCGUGUACGUACAAGCAGUGGGAGCACCUUCGGGUGUGACUGCGUACCUUUUGUAUAAUGGGUCAGCGACUUAUAUUCUGUAGCAAGGUUAACCGUAUAGGGGAGCCGCAGGGAAACCGAGUCUUAACUGGGCGUUAAGUUGCAGGGUAUAGACCCGAAACCCGGUGAUCUAGCCAUGGGCAGGUUGAAGGUUGGGUAACACUAACUGGAGGACCGAACCGACUAAUGUUGAAAAAUUAGCGGAUGACUUGUGGCUGGGGGUGAAAGGCCAAUCAAACCGGGAGAUAGCUGGUUCUCCCCGAAAGCUAUUUAGGUAGCGCCUCGUGAAUUCAUCUUCGGGGGUAGAGCACUGUUUCGGCUAGGGGGUCAUCCCGACUUACCAACCCGAUGCAAACUACGAAUACCGAAGAAUGUUAUCACGGGAGACACACGGCGGGUGCUAACGUCCGUCGUGAAGAGGGAAACAACCCAGACCGCCAGCUAAGGUCCCAAAGUCAUGGUUAAGUGGGAAACGAUGUGGGAAGGCACAGACAGCCAGGAUGUUGGCUUAGAAGCAGCCAUCAUUUAAAGAAAGCGUAAUAGCUCACUGGUCGAGUCGGCCUGCGCGGAAGAUGUAACGGGGCUAAACCAUGCACCGAAGCUGCGGCAGCGACACUAUGUGUUGUUGGGUAGGGGAGCGUUCUGUAAGCCUGCGAAGGUGUGCUGUGAGGCAUGCUGGAGGUAUCAGAAGUGCGAAUGCUGACAUAAGUAACGAUAAAGCGGGUGAAAAGCCCGCUCGCCGGAAGACCAAGGGUUCCUGUCCAACGUUAAUCGGGGCAGGGUGAGUCGACCCCUAAGGCGAGGCCGAAAGGCGUAGUCGAUGGGAAACAGGUUAAUAUUCCUGUACUUGGUGUUACUGCGAAGGGGGGACGGAGAAGGCUAUGUUAGCCGGGCGACGGUUGUCCCGGUUUAAGCAUGUAGGCUGGUUGUCCAGGCAAAUCCGGAUAAUCAAGGCUGAGGUGUGAUGACGAGGUACUACGGUGCUGAAGUAACAAAUGCCCUGCUUCCAGGAAAAGCCUCUAAGCAUCAGGUAACAUUAAAUCGUACCCCAAACCGACACAGGUGGUCAGGUAGAGAAUACCAAGGCGCUUGAGAGAACUCGGGUGAAGGAACUAGGCAAAAUGGUGCCGUAACUUCGGGAGAAGGCACGCUGGUGUGUAGGUGAAGUCCCUGCGGAUGGAGCUGAGACCAGUCGAAGAUACCAGCUGGCUGCAACUGUUUAUUAAAAACACAGCACUGUGCAAACACGAAAGUGGACGUAUACGGUGUGACGCCUGCCCGGUGCCGGAAGGUUAAUUGAUGGGGUUAUCCGUAAGGAGAAGCUCUUGAUCGAAGCCCCGGUAAACGGCGGCCGUAACUAUAACGGUCCUAAGGUAGCGAAAUUCCUUGUCGGGUAAGUUCCGACCUGCACGAAUGGCGUAAUGAUGGCCAGGCUGUCUCCACCCGAGACUCAGUGAAAUUGAACUCGCUGUGAAGAUGCAGUGUACCCGCGGCAAGACGGAAAGACCCCGUGAACCUUUACUAUAGCUUGACACUGAACAUUGAGCCUUGAUGUGUAGGAUAGGUGGGAGGCUUUGAAGCGUGGACGCCAGUCUGCGUGGAGCCAACCUUGAAAUACCACCCUUUAAUGUUUGAUGUUCUAACGUUGGCCCCUGACCGGGGUUGCGGACAGUGUCUGGUGGGUAGUUUGACUGGGGCGGUCUCCUCCCAAAGCGUAACGGAGGAGCACGAAGGUUAGCUAAUCCUGGUCGGACAUCAGGAGGUUAGUGCAAUGGCAUAAGCUAGCUUGACUGCGAGCGUGACGGCGCGAGCAGGUGCGAAAGCAGGUCAUAGUGAUCCGGUGGUUCUGAAUGGAAGGGCCAUCGCUCAACGGAUAAAAGGUACUCCGGGGAUAACAGGCUGAUACCGCCCAAGAGUUCAUAUCGACGGCGGUGUUUGGCACCUCGAUGUCGGCUCAUCACAUCCUGGGGCUGAAGUAGGUCCCAAGGGUAUGGCUGUUCGCCAUUUAAAGUGGUACGCGAGCUGGGUUUAGAACGUCGUGAGACAGUUCGGUCCCUAUCUGCCGUGGGCGCUGGAGAAUUGAGGGGGGCUGCUCCUAGUACGAGAGGACCGGAGUGGACGCAUCACUGGUGUUCGGGUUGUCAUGCCAAUGGCACUGCCCGGUAGCUAAAUGCGGAAGAGAUAAGUGCUGAAAGCAUCUAAGCACGAAACUUGCCCCGAGAUGAGUUCUCCCUGAGACUUUAAGUCUCCUGAAGGAACGUU
rnacentral:rRNA from 1 species